UACGGAGGGUGCUAGCGUUGUCCGGAAUCAUUGGGCGUAAAGCGCGUGUAGGCGGCUCGGUAAGUCCGCUCUGAAAGUCCAGGGCUCAACCCUGGGAUGCGGGUGGAUACUGUCGGGCUCGAGUCCGGAAGAGGCGAGUGGAAUUCCUGGUGUAGCGGUGAAAUGCGCAGAUAUCAGGAGGAACACCAAUGGCGAAGGCAGCUCGCUGGGACGUGACUGACGCUGAGACGCGAAAGCGUGGGGAGCAAACAGG
rnacentral:rRNA from 1 species